UACGUAGGGUGCAAGCGUUUGUCCGGAAUUAUUGGGCGUAAAGAGCUCGUAGGCGGUUUGUCGCGUCUGCUGUGAAAACCCGAGGCUCAACCUCGGGCCUGCAGUGGGGUACGGGCAGACUAGAGUGCGGUAGGGGAGACUGGAAUUCCUGGUGUAGCGGUGAAAUGCGCAGAUAUCAGGAGGAACACCGGUGGGCGAAGGCGGGGUCUCUGGGCCGUA
rnacentral:rRNA from 1 species